rfam:Candidatus Buchananbacteria bacterium RIFCSPLOWO2_01_FTLL_40_23b rifcsplowo2_01_scaffold_433, whole genome shotgun sequence.
UGCGGGAUCGUCUAAUGGUAGGACAGCGGAUUCUGGCUCCGCUAAUCCAGGUCCGAAUCCUGGUCCCGCAG